rnacentral:rRNA from 1 species
GACGAACGCUGGCGGCGUGCUUAACACAUGCAAGUCGAACGGAAAGGCCCUGCUUUUGUGGGGUGCCCGAGUGGCGAACGGGUGAGUAACACGUGAGUAACCUGCUCUUGACUUUGGGAUAACUUCAGGAAACUGGGGCUAAUACCGGAUAGGAGCUCCUGCUGCAUGGUGGGGGUUGGAAAGUUUCGGCGGUUGGGGAUGGACUCGCGGCUUAUCAGCUUGUUGGUGGGGUAGUGGCUUACCAAGGCUUUGACGGGUAGCCGGCCUGAGAGGGUGACCGGCCACAUUGGGACUGAGAUACGGCCCAGACUCCUACGGGAGGCAGCAGUGGGGAAUAUUGCACAAUGGGCGGAAGCCUGAUGCAGCAACGCCGCGUGCGGGAUGACGGCCUUCGGGUUGUAAACCGCUUUCGCCUGUGACGAAGCGUGAGUGACGGUAAUGGGUAAAGAAGCACCGGCUAACUACGUG